AAUAUUUGUUAAUAUAUCUCAAAACAGGCAAGAAGCUGGCCAAUCUCAAUAAAAGCACAUAGAAUGCUGCCAGAAUUCAAUUUGACCUGCAGUUCCAAUUCAUGUUUCCAGAAUGUACCACUGCACACUGUAAAUAAAGAGCCCUCCAUAUAAGAAGUGGGCUGGGAUCAGUCCAUGUCAGCCUGAGAGCCGACUCCUGUUCUGGGUUUCCAGAUGAAGCCAUGUUACAAUGAGAGCAGCUUGGCAUUAAGCUUGGAGAGCUGCCUGACCAUAAAGCUGAUGAGCGCCCAUCAUGCUUUGCGGCUGAGCUAGAGCUUGCUGUCUGCCGGAAGCAGCUGCUUUUCACACAAUAGGGCC